rnacentral:rRNA from 1 species
GGAGUUUGGACCGUGUCUCAGUUCCAAUGUGGGGGACCUUCCUCUCAGAACCCCUACUGAUCGUCGGCUUGGUGGGCCGUUACCCCACCAACUAGCUAAUCAGACGCGGGUCCAUCCUAUACCACCGGAGUUUUUCACACUGCUUCAUGCGAAGCUGUGCGCUUAUGCGGUAUUAGCAGCUGUUUCCAACUGUUAUCCCCCUGUAUAGGGUAGGUUACCCACGCGUUACUCACCCGUCCGCCACUCAGUCACCUCAAGGCGAAUCAAUCAGAAGCAAGCUUCAUCAAUCUUCAAUUAGAGGUGCUUCGUUCGACUUGCAUGUGUUAAGCACGCCGCCAGCGUUCAUC